GGCGGCGUGGUUGAGGCAUGCAAGUCGCACGAGAACGGGGUAGCAAUACCCCUAGUAAAGUGGCGGAAGGGUGAGGAAUGGGUAGAUAACGUACCUUUGAGAUGGGCAUAACGGCUCGAAAGAGCCGCUAAUUCCCGAUAAGACCACGACUGGGCAUCCAGUUGAGGUCAAUGGCUGGGGAUCCUCGGACCUAGCGCUCAUGGAUCGGUCUACUCCCUACCAGCUAGUUGGCGGGGUAACGGCCCACCAAGGCUGCGACGGGUACCCGGGCUGGGAGGCUGAUCGGGCACAUCGGCACUGAGACACUGGCCGGACACCUACGGGUGGCUGCAGUUCGGAAUAUUCGGCAAUGGACGAAAGUCUGACCGAGCGACGCCGCGUGCGGGAUGAAGGCCCUUUGGGUUGUAAACCGCUGUCACAGGUGAGCAAAUCACAUUUAGUGAACAACUAAGUGUGUUGAGUUAAGCUUGAGAGGAAGCCCCCGCU
rnacentral:rRNA from 1 species